UACUAAAGGUAUUCACAGGUGGCAAAGGUUUCUAUUUAUUUGACGGGGUAGAGGUAGUUCGCUUUGGAGGAGAGGAAGGAGAAGGGAAACAUGCAAGUAAGAGUUGGAUGUCUUGUCUUCUCUUUUGGAUGUUGGUGGUGUGUGUGGGGAGGAGGUUAAGGAAGUUGAGAGUUGGUAAAGUUCAAGAGUUCUAUACAUCUUCACACAGAACUAGAUGAGAAGGUUAGGGUGGUGAACAGGACGGGAGAGGGAAGAGAAAGAGAUCUUUUUGAGAGAGAGGUUUCUUUGUCACAAGGUACCUGCAGCCAGGAGCUAAGACUACUUCCUCUGGUAGGGGCAGGUAGGUCAACGCAGUCUUCCAAGAGGAAGUACGUAAUUUAGGUAAGCCCCUUCUUUCUUGCGCUAGGCAAGUGGUGUGUGUAUCUUAAAGCGUACAGGCAGAUGUGACAAGCAGUUUAAGAAGCGCAGCAAGACAGUUUGAGCCCUCACUGCUGCCACAACCUGUACCUGUCUUGUCCAAUGGCUUCUUCCUGAGUUGUUGUUUCUCAACGUACUUCUACUUCCACUACUGAUGCUGAUGAUACCGCUAGGCAUCCUCACUCCAGUGCACCUGAUGUAGCUGACGGACACCGACUCUACCUCAGAGAUGCGUAACAUGAAAAGCGACAAAAAAUGACUUACAUUAUUCACAGUACUCUGUAAAUAGAUCCAUACGGAACACCGUUCUAUAUAAUUUUAGUAUUAUGGAAAAUACAUAACACGUUACUAUAGUAAAGUGACACAACAGUUGUUACUAGG
rnacentral:rRNA from 1 species